rnacentral:rRNA from 1 species
GUAGUCCACGCCGUAAACGAUGCAUACUAGUCGUAUGGGGUAUCGACCCCCUGUGCGACGAAGCUAACGCGAUAAGUAUGCCGCCUGGGAAGUACGGCCGCAAGGCUAAAACUCAAAGGAAUUGACGGGGACCCGCACAAGCAGAGGAGGAUGUGGUUUAAUAUGACGCUACGCGUAGAACCUUACCGAGGCUUGACAUCUUAGGAAUCCGCUGGAAACAGUGGAGUGCCUUUUGGAGCCUAAUGACAGGUGCUGCAUGGCCGUCGUCAGCUCGUGUCGUGAGAUGUUGGGUUAAGUCCCGCAACGAGCGCAACCCUUAUCGUAUGUUGUAUUUUUCAUGCGAGACUGCCCGGGCCAACCGGGA